UGAACCAUUGGAAACUACUCUCAGAGUGCGGAUUUCAACCAGAUUUAUAUCACGACUUCAGCCAGGAUACUCCUGCAGUCGUGAAUGUCGCAUGGGACAAUGUCAGGAGCCUUGGUGACAUUCAGGACGGAUGGAAGAUGGUAAAUGUGACAACAAUCCCUGAGAAAGUCCCCAGGAGCGAAGCAAAGAACUGCAGACUGUCGCACUGGAGUCUGUACUGAGCGAAUUAGAAGCUCUGGCCUCAAACUGUUCUGAGUAUGUGCUGAGCGAGCCGUGUGGGCAAUGAAGGCAGUAGCUGAAGCAAUUACUGAAGCAUUAGUGACUACCCUGGAAGCUCUUGGAAGGCAGCAGAGACGAUACUGUUUUGCCGCAGUGAAGCGUCAGAAGUCCCUGGUGAGGAGCACAGCCCUGAUGAUAUGGGGAGCAAGGGAGGAUGUGGGCAUGGGUGGAGAUGUCAGAUAAGUGCCCCGAAGUGGUGAGUAACCAAAGCUAAACCCCAAGGAGGCUUUGGAGGCCUGUGUACCCUAUUCCUGGUGGGUUGGUUGUGCCCGAAGGUCCAGGCAGGGGGACCUGAAGGGGAUCCCUUGCGGCUAGACAGACAUCGUGAUCCCGGGCGAUUCUGCAAGGCCCCCCACGACUGAGGUGGUGAGUGGGGGGCUGUUUUCUAGGCUCUGCAGCAAAAGCACAGUGCUGCACUGCAGAGGCAGGAGCUGGACCGUGCUCUUCCCAUGGGAAAGGCUGAUGGGGGUCAAACA